rnacentral:rRNA from 1 species
UUCCAACUAACUUAUUAAAACAUUUUACAGUUAUAGUAAAGGCGAUUGAAACAUCUUUUGAAGUAAUAUUUCUAGUACCGCAAGGGAACAGUGAAAUAAAAAUGAAAUAACUAUCAAGCACCUAAUAGUAGAGACCUCCCCUCGUACCUUUUGCAUCAUGAUUUAACUAGUUUAUCCAAGCAUAAUGCACUAAAGUUUGCCCCCCCGAAACUAAGCGAGCUACUUCGAGGCAGUUCCAAGAACUAACCCGUCUCUGUAGCAAAAGAGUGGGAAGACCUUCAAGUAGAGGUGACAGACCUAACGAGCUUAGUGAUAGCUGGUUACUUGAGAAAAGGAUCUCAGUCCAACCCAACUUUUAUAAAAUACACCUAAAUAAAGACUAAAAUUUGGAGUAAUUCAAAUAAGGUACAGCCUAUUUGAAUCAGGAUACAACCUUUAUAAAUGGGUAAUUAAACUUUUAUGUAAUAAAGUAGGCCUAAGAGCAGCCACCUUCAAAAAGCGUCAAAGCUUAUUCACAAAUCAACUCAAUCCCCCUAAUUUUUAAAAACCCUUAAUCUCUAUUAAGUAGCUCUAUAAAAUUAUAGAACCUAUUAUGUUAAAACUAGUAACAAGAAUAAGAACUUCUCUUUAAUGCAAGCGUAAAUCAGGCUGGACAAACCACUGAUUCUUAACACUUUGAAGCCAGAGUAAUAACUCACCAAGAAAAUCUUACUUCACUUAAUGUUAACCUGACACAAGAGCAUUCUCAGACAGAUUAAAAGGAAUAGAAGGAACUCGGCAAAUAUUAACCUCGCCUGUUUACCAAAAACAUC